rnacentral:lncRNA from 1 species
AAAUGCCUGGCAGGAGAUUCUCAGAGUUCAACCUAUAGACGAAUAUCAAGUGUUAAAUGCUGUGGUUAAGACAAAAAAGAGGACGGAGCCAGGGUAUGAAUAUAAAUGGUGCCCUACUUUGAACCUCAUUGGGCAGAUCAAAGAUUUUUAAAAGGUUUUCUGAAGUUGCCCAGCGCCUAGAAUUUCAAGGACCGCAUUCGCUGCCUCCUUCCUAAAGAGGGUGCGUUUGUGGGGAAGGUGAGUGCGCGCGCGCGGAGGGAGGGCCGGCCGCGGAGAGGGGCCAAGGCUCUUCGGAAUCAGCAGCCAGAAAGAGGCUCUGCGGGCGCCCGCGGGGCGGAGGGCCGCCGGGGCGAGGGCCGGAGGAGGGGUCCGAGACGCGCCAAGGGGCUGGUAGCUAGGCGACCUGAAUGUCUUCCAUACCUGAAGCCGCAGCCUGAAGAAGCUGAUAGCGGACCCUGAGCUCGUGCGCGCCUUGGCGGGAGCCCUGCGCCUCCCGGGGUCUCCCUGCUCCUUACUUGGACCUCGGGCACAAGUCCCCUCCGCGCAGAGCUGAAGCCGCGGCGGGCGGCCCACGGGGGAUCAGACCCUCGGCCAUCCGCGUUUCCCGUCCGCCGGACCCCCGCCUCUUCUCCAAGCUCCACUCCCGACUUUCUUCUCCGCCCCCGGGAAGCUCCGGAAACCCGCACCCCCGGCUCUGAGGUCAGGGCUUGCAGGAGUAAUCCACCCUUUCCAGGUGUGUGGCGCAAACACGGACGCAAAGAUCUCCCCUAGGGUCUGUAACAAUUUCCAGGCUGAAAGGUGAUAACUCCUCUUUCCAUAACAUACCUUCCCCUCGCCCCCACUUCCUUUACUAUCCUAACUUUGGGAGGAAUAUUGAUUCUUGAUCAAAGUAAAUGCACUGUCUUACCUUUGGUAUCGGCACAGGCUGAGGUGGUUUUUUCCCCCCUUAACUAUUAUGAUAAGUGUACAAGGUUUUCAGGGUGACUGCGGUGCUACAACUUUAUAACAACUUAAAGCAAAAGCUCUUAGGCGCUGGGGAAAAAAGCUGGACCCCACUCUGAAAUCUCGAUUCAGAAAUCUGGUGUGUGUGCGUGUGCGUGCCUGCAUGCGUGUGUGUGUUCAGGCUUGAGUAGAUUUAAAAAGCACCUCAGGUGAUUGUGAUGCCCGCCCCCGCAACAUACCCCCAAGUAUCUGUAAGGUCCGCAAAGAAGAGAGAGGGGCCACCCACUGUGGCUAAGCAUCAGUUGAAACUAUUAGUGUGAAUUGAAAAUAAAAACAGUGAAAGGGAUGAAAGCCAGUUCCCCUCAAGUUGAUUAAUGUGAUUGGUGCGGUAUCAUUGGAUCUGAGAAGGUA